AGUCUUUCAUCGCUCGCUGUCCCUUGACUCUCUAGACUAAGCCCCGCUACUGUCUACAAAAUCAAAAACAGGAUGGGUUUCAGCAGGCUCGCUUGAUAUGACCGAACCAAUCCUCAUCAUCUCGUCGCCGGUCUUCCGUUUGUCCUCCGCAUACCGAUGCAAGGUGCUGUAGUAGUGGUCUUUGGUGCUGAACUUGUAGAGGGAGGAGAUCUUCUCCCAGUCCUUGUUGGAAGGGGUGAUGAUGUUUUUAGGCGGUGUCU